UUUUGGUCCGGCAGGGCAGCAGCAUCCACGGAGCAGAAAUUGACAUCCUGUCAUAAUUCCUUUAAUCCUGAGUGUAUAAGUACCGUGUGCGUCCUUAAGAUAUCGAGGCUCUGAAACUCUUCUCUCAGGCUGAACUGGUUUCCUGGUUCCUGGAACACAGAAACAGCAGCAGAAAACUCAGCGUCCACGUGGUCGGUUUCGGCGUGGAGGAGAACGACCCGUCAGACCAGAGCGUCCCCUGCCCCUCAGACGGCACCGACAACCCCCCGUCGUCCAUGUACGGCGAAGUCAGCGAGCUGAGCUUCCUGCCGGCCUGGACGCUGCAGCUGCAGGACGCCGCGCUCAUCACCGACAUCAGAGCCUUCACGGCGUCGCUGCCGCUCCACCCCUACCACGAGAUCCUGCACUAGGUCGGCGUCAGCGGAGCCCCGCCUCCGUCUGGGAUGAUGCUGUAACUGUGGCGACCGCUGGCAACAACAUCCACACUGUGUGAUUAGAGAAGAGGCAAGGUUUUGUUUUGUUUUGUUUUGUUUUUGUGAUGCUGUGUUCACAACCAGCGGGAAAAAACUGAAAAAGACAUGAAGAUGAGGCUUCGAUUCAGUGUUCUGCCCCUUUAACAAAAUACUUGUGCAUUUACGGUCGUAUUUACAAAAAAAGAGAAAAAAAAAUUCUUCUCUAAUUUCUCAUUUUCUUUAACCUAACAGCCAAGCACUUAAAGAAGAAAAAGUCAGCAAAAAAGAUUAAAAUAAGUAUAAUAAACAAAAGUAACAUUAAAUCAGAUUGUAAAAGCAUGAAAAGAGACAGGAUUGAAGCAGCGCUCUGACCUUAA